GCAGAGAGAAGAGAGCGCUUCACUUCUUGAUCUUCGCUGCUUAUCUCGUGGUCUCAUCUUCACCUUCUGCAGGUCUGAUCAGAUUAGCUGGAUCUGGGUCCACUCAGUGCUCUGGAAGAGUUGAAAUCUAUAACUGUAACUCUUACUCUUACCCUUACUAUUCCUGGGGAACAGUGUGUGAU